rnacentral:rRNA from 1 species
AUUGAACGCUGGCGGCAGGCUUAACACAUGCAAGUCGAGCGGGGGAAGGUAGCUUGCUACCGGACCUAGCGGCGGACGGGUGAGUAAUGCUUAGGAAUCUGCCUAUUAGUGGGGGACAACAUCUCGAAAGGGAUGCUAAUACCGCAUACGUCCUACGGGAGAAAGCAGGGGAUCUUCGGACCUUGCGCUAAUAGAUGAGCCUAAGUCGGAUUAGCUAGUUGGUGGGGUAAAGGCCUACCAAGGCGACGAUCUGUAGCGGGUCUGAGAGGAUGAUCCGCCACACUGGGACUGAGACACGGCCCAGACUCCUACGGGAGGCAGCAGUGGGGAAUAUUGGACAAUGGGGGGAACCCUGAUCCAGCCAUGCCGCGUGUGUGAAGAAGGCCUUAUGGUUGUAAAGCACUUUAAGCGAGGAGGAGGCUACUUUAGUUAAUACCUAGAGAUAGUGGACGUUACUCGCAGAAUAAGCACCGGCUAACUCUGUGCCAGCAGCCGCGGUAAUACAGAGGGUGCGAGCGUUAAUCGGAUUUACUGGGCGUAAAGCGUGCGUAGGCGGCUUAUUAAGUCGGAUGUGAAAUCCCCGAGCUUAACUUGGGAAUUGCAUUCGAUACUGGUGAGCUAGAGUAUGGGAGAGGAUGGUAGAAUUCCAGGUGUAGCGGUGAAAUGCGUAGAGAUCUGGAGGAAUACCGAUGGCGAAGGCAGCCAUCUGGCCUAAUACUGACGCUGAGGUACGAAAGCAUGGGGAGCAAACAGGAUUAGAUACCCUGGUAGUCCAUGCCGU